rnacentral:tRNA from 1 species
GGGCGCAUGGUUUAGGGGUAUAACGCCUCAUUCGCAUUGAGGAGGUCUCGGGUUCGAUUCCCGAUGUGUCCA